rnacentral:rRNA from 1 species
AACGAACGCUGGCGGCAUGCCUAACACAUGCAAGUCGAACGAGAUCUUCGGGUCUAGUGGCGCACGGGUGCGUAACGCGUGGGAAUCUGCCCUUUGGUUCGGAAUAACAGUUGGAAACGACUGCUAAUACCGGAUGAUGACGAAAGUCCAAAGAUUUAUCGCCAGAGGAUGAGCCCGCGUAGGAUUAGCUAGUUGGUGUGGUAAAGGCGCACCAAGGCGACGAUCCUUAGCUGGUCUGAGAGGAGGAUCAGCCACACUGGGACUGAGACACGGCCCAGACUCCUACGGGAGGCAGCAGUGGGGAAUAUUGGACAAUGGGCGAAAGCCUGGUCCAGCAAUGCCGCGUGAGUGAUGAAGGCCUUAGGGUUGUAAAGCUCUUUUACCCGGGAUGAUAAUGACAGUACCGGGAGAAUAAGCUCCGGCUAACUCCGUGCCAGCCGCCGCGGUAA